AGAACAUCUUUCCAGCUCGGCAGGGCAAUGCGGGAUGAGAAGCAGAAAGUGUUGUGAGGAAUAAAGAAAGAUUGUUGAAGACAAUAUCAACAUCAUAAUUCUGAAUCAACAACAGAAGAGACAAGUAUAAACUUUAAGUUACAUCGCACUUGUGCGUUGCCGAGCCAUGCCAGCUUGACGUUGGUCUUGUUGCGGUUCUCCCAGAAGAAGUCGGUGAGUAUGCGUGCGGGGAUGGCGUUGGUAUGG